GUGCUUAAUCCGGCAGCCCAUAUACUAACAGUGGAACAAUAUAGAGAAGAUUAGCAUGGCCCCUGCACAAGGAUGACAUGCAAAUUCGUGAAGCGAUCCAUAUUUUU
ensembl:snRNA U6 U6 spliceosomal RNA